CAGAACAUCACGGCAUUUGUUGUGGUAAAUAGUUCAGUGGCAAAGCGCCCGUUCCAUCUGCGGACCUCCAAAUGACCCUGAAUGCAGAGGUACAGAAAAGCUUUCCAUGCUCAUCCAGCCCAUCUCUGGUUACAUGAUAAGAAACGAGGCUGACACAGCAAUAUAAAUGUGACUACUCGCUAAGAAUGACCGCGGGUCAGGCCACAGGAUCCAGGGGAUACCCGGUAACAGAAGCUGUCAUAUUUAUCGCUGGCGUCUUCAGAGCCAGCUUGAGUAGCUGGAGACAGAGCACACAAAAGGACUAUUCAGUGCAGCCCAUGGUCUGAAAUGAAACAGAUGCGCUGUGGAAGUUUGCAAACUCCCCGGCACAGAAGGUUGGCAGAUCUGCGCUCUGUAACCAGGGCCCAUCUUCUUGGCAGAGCGCUCCGCACCCCGGUGCCAGUGGCACUGCUCCUGCUGUGCAGACGAAGGGCGGUCUGGAGGACAAAGCACUCAGCUUGGCAGUUAAAGGCAGGGAGAACUAAACCAAGGCUGAGAGCCCACUCGAGCUUUUAAGCCCUCCCACCAAUUUUGGAUGGUAAGACUCAAAGCUGCCCGCACCCAGGGUUGGCUGAAGCCAUCACACAAAGCCCUGCGACACAUCCCCCCAGCGAAGGGCCGCUGAGCUCCCCCGGCCUGGCAAAGGAUCAGCAGUCCUGAAAACAGAGCACAGCCAACUUCAACACAAACAGCCCAGGAUGAGACAGCACUAUUUUGGACCCAGCCGAUGCAGAAGCGCAGUGGGUUGGGCUCCUUCAACCCCGGGCUGCUCUGCUGCUCCUCUGAGCCCCAGAAUUCCCACCUGCUCACACACAAAUGCUGCAGAGGAAAAGGAGAAUUUGAGGCACUGAGCCCGGCAGAGCUGCAGCCCCAGUGAGAAUGAUGCUUCUGCUCACGGCCAUGGGCACUCCCUGACUCGUGCAAGGAGUCCAGGAGCUGUGUGCAACGGCUCUGCUGUCCUCUGCUUGGCAUCAGGUAUGUGCAAGCAAGCAGAGACAGGUGGAGGGGAGCACCUACUGCUUUUCUGCCUCAUGCUGCACAGGACUUAAAGCUCUGCUCCAUUUUAUAACGCUGAGGCUCUUCCAGAAGACACAAAAUACACAGAUAAGCCAUGUUCUCACUGACCCAUGCUCCACUCAGCACAAGGAUUCCUCUGCAAGAAAAGCUCCUGAAAUCCACAUGGUUCCUUUCUUAUUUACCUUUUUUAUCUUUGCUCAUUUUCUACAAAGAAAAGUAACCCAACCUCGGUUCAGUAUAAACCUAGCUGGAAACAAAAACCCUCUCAAUUCCUCUUCAUUAUAAAUGGAUUGUCAAUGUGUUAAAUAAAUCAGUGAAAAUGGAAAUCCAAAAAUAAAUAGCCAUCCUGCUGUUGCUAUGACAACUCAAAUUUUUUACCUGGACAGAGAUUCUAUGUUUCACAGUCAGCAAUGGCUGAAAAGGAGGGUCACAUUUCUUUUCCAUUCCUGGCUCAUGUCACCACCUACCCUAUGUAAUAGAAGAGAUUAUUUGGGGUUACUUUUUAGCAAAGGAGGGAAGAUCAAAGAGAGGAGCUAUUUUCCAUUCUGGACAGGAGAGAUACAUACACACAUGUUCACAACAACACAGCAGCUAUCAGCCCAGAAAGGAUGGAGAGCAUAAACACUACAGCAGCACUGCAAAGGCCCUGAGCUGCCCCUGCUAUGCUAAAUGCAAAGCAUGCUUAGAAUAAGAUUAACGCAGUUCAAAACCAUAUUUUGGCUCAUACUGUAAGGCAAUCUUACCCCACUCAAAAGUAACAGUUCAGAGCAUCAGCAUGAAGUAAAUACUUUGCAGUUUGUGCUGCCCCUCACAGCAGUGAUUUGUGCGCCCCACUGCCCCAGCAUCAGUUCUGCACAACCAAACCUCUGCCUGCUCCUUAUGGAGGCACAAGUGCCAAAAUCCCAUGGUGAAGGAGGCCCAAAGACAAAG
rnacentral:lncRNA from 1 species